CUGGUGCAAAAGUCCAGAUUAGUGCAGGUCCCAGAGGUGGAUCUCUAGGACAUUUAUGGUAUAUCCUGUGCAUUGGCUAUAAAUUUACCUGAUGGAAAUAUCCAACUAUCCAAUCAGCCAUUCACUUCUCUGUAGGAGUAUAUAUGAGUUGUACAUCUUGCAGAUACAAGACAUGUGGCACAAGAUCUAGAUCAAGACACAAUAAAGCAAUGUGGGUGGGAAGUGGUGCUGAACUAGUGCUAUGUUAAGGAGAGAGAGAAAACCCAAGAAACCCUGUGCUGUGUACCUGCAAGCUGAGCCAUUCUGACUGCUGAAGAUGAUCCACACUGUUCAUCAAAGAUCACAUGACACGGGAAUGUCACACGAUCUGGACCGCAUCAUGUGACCACAGGUGGAGCCCGGUGGUAAUAAAAAGGCAGCUCCAGCUGUGAUCAAUUUCCUGUAUACUUGUAUUUAAUGGUUUGUGAACAUGAUGUCAGUUGUAGUCCGUCUAUCUGAGGAAGGGAACGGUCAGUUCCCAAAUGUGCUUAUAAUUGGACAAUAAAGUUUCAUCGUACAUCUUUAUCUGCUACCACCUUCAUUGGAGUGUCUGCAUGAUUGGAAGUCAUUUUUUCAGCUACAGUUUAUCCAUUUCCUCCUGGUCUGCUUGGGCCCCAUCGCCAGACUUGCACAUCCACGCUGCUCCUCCUGUGAUUAUUUCCCCAUAGUGGGUUUUUACUGCUUGGUCUAGUGUUGCGGCUGUUUCCACAACCUGCCCAGGUGAGCACCCCAACUUUAAUUGAUAUUGAAAUUUCUUAUUUGGAUGAUAUCACCCUAUGUGGCGCUCCGUGUUUUUUUUUUCUUUUUCUUCUAUAAGUGAAUAAAGUUUUUUUUUUUCUUAUCCGCACUGACUACAGCAUGUAUCAAAUGUUAAAUAUUUUAUAAAGAUGUUAAACUGUAAGACUGUAAAUAUUUUAUAUAGAUUUAGACUGUAAGCCCUCACGGGCAGGCC